CAGAUUUAGGGGGCAGGGUGCCCACCCCCUCCCUUUUUUGUGGGAAAAAUUGUUUGAUUAUAUAGGGAAUCACUGAAGCAUGACUGGAGCAGGUCCCCUCUUAGGCAGUCAGUAUGCCCCUCUUACAUAUAAAAAAAACUGUAUCUGCCACUUUUACAUGUAAAUGACAAUACAACACUGUUUUAAAAGAGUGUCUUGAAAAGAG
rnacentral:lncRNA from 1 species